rnacentral:rRNA from 1 species
AGUGAACGCUGGCGGUAGGCCUAACACAUGCAAGUCGAACGGCAGCACAGUAAGAGCUUGCUCUUACGGGUGGCGAGUGGCGGACGGGUGAAGAAUACAUCGGAAUCUACUUUUUCGUGGGGGAUAACGUAGGGAAACUUACGCUAAUACCGCAUACGACCUACGGGUGAAAGCAGGGGAUCUUCGGACCUUGCGCGAUUGAAUGAGCCGAUGUCGGAUUAGCUAGUUGGCGGGGUAAAGGCCCACCAAGGCGACGAUCCGUAGCUGGUCUGAGAGGAUGAUCGGCCACACUGGAACUGAGACACGGUCCAGACUCCUACGGGAGGCAGCAGUGGGGAAUAUUGGACAAUGGGCGCAAGCCUGAUCCAGCCAUACCGCGUGGGUGAAGAAGGCCUUCGGGUUGUAAAGCCCUUUUGUUGGGAAAGAAAAGCAGCAGGUUAAUACCCCGCUGUUCUGACGGUACCCAAAGAAUAAGCACCGGCUAACUUCGUG